CUUACGACCAUUUGACUUUACGACCACAAUCGCUAGCCAUGACUGCUCCGCGUCUGGCAGCGCAAACGUUGCCCAGCUGGGCGUACGACAGUGUGGACCAGCUUCUAGCAGCACUACCAUCUCUGCGUGCACCACUUCAACUGUUAUCCCAAACUCAGUAUAGCAAUUUGUGUUUUGUGUCUUGGAUAUUUUUCAUCAAACCCCUCCCAUGAUAAACUUCUUAUAGAUUGUCUCUAAACGAGAACCAAACAAGAAA